GAGUUUAUUGAUUUUGAGCACCGCCCUGGGCCCUCUCAGGUUCUCAGCUUCGUGAGCCUUUGGUUCCAGCAGACCAGUCUGACUAUACAGCCUCUUAGGCUUUAAGCGAGUCUGUGGAGCGUAGAUUCCAAAGCCAACAAUAUCAGCCUGCAAGCUCUCAGGCUAGACAGAUCUUUGAGUAGUCUGAGGAGCGUAGAGUCCAAAGCCAACAAUCUCAGCCUGCAAGCUCUCAGGCUAGACGGAUCUCUGAGCAGUCUGUUCCGCGGCGACGUCGUCGUCGGCGUCAAGAAAUUACUGAACUAGAAGAUCCGUCUUUGCGCAAGGCAACGGAGAGAUUGGAGGCCUUGGAGCAAGCAAGUGCGCAAGCCACUCCAGAGCACGCACAAGCCAGAAAUAGGCUAGCUGUUUUCAUUAGCAGAAAGAUCUUGAGCAGAGGAACUUAAGUUUUGUUUGUAAAACGACUGUCCAGUACUGCCAUCAAAACCCCAAGAUCCUUCGAAAACGCAUUUUAAUUAUUUUAUACCUUUACGAUCGCAAAAUUCAGUAAAACUUUCUUCGCAUCUAUGUAGAAUUCGCUUUAGUGUAUGUGUCAGCAACCCUUCUAAUGAAACUGAUGCUUCUAUAUCAGACACUAUAAUUUCUUCAUUUGGGUAACAAGCUUUCCUUGCAUUCAGAACUUGUGCGUAAGGUGGAUAAACAUCAUAUCCCCGACUUUUGAGAUCUUGUUGUCUUUCUUUAUAAGUCUAUACACUAAAUUGUCUGUCUAUCAUAAUACUCAAAGCUUCAUCCGGGGUGUAGGGUCGCUGUUCUGAUGCUGAUUUUAAUUUAUUACAAAUCUCUGUAGCUUUAGAUGGAAAUUCAAGACAUACUUUAAUUAAUGAUUCUAAAUCUUUAGCAGCUUUAGAGGUCAACUGUGGUUCAGACGAUGUCGAAAUAGCGGAAAUAAAGGUCUUUACGAUUUUACUUGGUGGUUCAUUUUCAAAUACUUCUGCUAGGCGCUUUUUGUUUCUUAGCUCCUGUCUGUAAGUCAAGAUUUUGGGCUGGCAAGUACUCGAAGUACUAGGUUCUGAAUCCGCAUAUUGUUCUGUACUUGUACUGCCAGCAAUCAAACAUGUGGUCCCCAUGUUGUUGCGAGAAUUUUUUUUCCAAAUACAUCUUAUGUACCUUUUUAAACAGAGUUUUGUUGCUUUUGCAGUUUCUGAACAUUUUCAUUGUUUUAGAAAGAAAACUACUGAUUAUAUUCAUGAGACAUUGCUCGUCGGUAGAUGUUAAUGACGGUUUGAAACUGUUUCCCAUUUCUCUUUUUACUAUUUUAAGUAAUUCAGAGAAAGGAAAGUCUUCCGGUGAUCCUAAUUUUCGUAUUUUUUUACUUUCUUCCGAAAAGCACUCGUAUAAAUGUAGUCUAGUGCAUCCUCUUUGCAUACUUGCGGCUACUUCCAGAGGCUGAGAAGUACCGGCUGUGGCGUCGUCCACAGCUACGCUUGCCACUCGUGUACCAACAUGAGGGUUGGCGCCCUCAUGCCCCUCUAGCAUUAAGUCCUCCGGUCGAGGCCCGGACGGACAUCCCUCAGCAGGUUGGGUAAGCCCCUGCUGAGGCAAAGCGGCGCCAUGGGUCUGUAACGGCUCCAUGGUGCCUCACCCCCGUUCCUCCAAGUUGCGUGUCUUAGCACGGGGUUUAGCUAAAGCCUAACGAGGGUGGACCCCUUCCCGUGCUACACACAACCUUUCAUUGAAAAAAUAUCUUUUAAACGCUAAUUAAAAUUAAUUUGACGCUAUAAAUUCGAGCAAUAAAAAAUAUUACAUUAGAGGAGUAACUAUUUUAUUUAUUUAUUAUUAUGAGACAGACAGACAAUGGAGGCAUAAUAUUAGCAUCCUUUGGCCAUGGAACCCUAAAGAAGGUGGAAUUACGUAAGGUCAAUUUUUGUGUCAACCCUAACAUUUUGGAAAAAAAUACUUUUUCUCGAAAUUGCCGCCGAGUUAGAAUAUAGAAAAAUUAUAGGUGAUAGAGCUUUUUUUAAAAAAUGUAUCUGACCUAAACAGAGAUUCUACUUCGGCGUAGAAAAAAAAAAUAAUAAUUCCUGAAAUUUAAAAAAAAUAUAUAUUCUGUCGUUCCUAUAACUACUUUUGAAUAAUUAUAGGUGCAAUAAUAUUCGCCAUACACCAACCUACCUGCAAUGCAAAGAGAAGCUUAGUGUGUACUUUUCUCGAAAUAAUAAUAAAAUUCUAGUUUGUCCCAGUAAAAGGUCAAUUUUCUAAAAUAUUAAAAAAAAACUAUAGCCAAUUGUCACCUGGGUGUUUUAGUCUAACAUUAAUAAUAAGUUAAACUUUGGAUAUCUAUAUAAAAAGAAAGUCGUGUUAGUUACUCCACUUAUAACUCAAGAACGGCUGAACCGAUUUAGCUGAAAAUUGUCAGGGAGGUAGUUUAGAGCCAGGAGAAGGACAUAGGAUACUUUUUAUCCCGUUCGAAAUAAAAAAAAGUCUGCUUAUUUAUUGUCAUUAAGGCGGAACAAAGUUCGCCGGGUCAGCUAGUUAGUGAUAAAAACAGAAUGUCACUUUUUGGGGUAAAAAAAAAAACACUGUGCUUAGGGGACAGGCUGAAAGAUCCCUUUAAAAUUAUAUUAGAGGAUCAACUGCAAAUGGUAAAUCACGUCAUAAUUAUGUAACAUUAGAAUAUUAAUAAUUAUAAAAAUAUUAUGUUUGCAGAGGCGUAGUGAACACUUCAUAGUUCGAUAUCAUUUUAAUUGCACUACUAUUGUCCACAAACAACACAACACUGCAUUCAUUGAAUUCACUGGCGAGUCCUCGGAUGUACAGGAGCUCAGCAGCGCAUAGUGCUGCGGCGACAUACUCCGCCUCGGCAGUUGACAAGGCGACAGCAGGUUGCUUCUUGGAUGCCCACGAGAUGAGGUUGUUCCCAUGGAACACUGCCAUGCCACUCGUGCUCUUUCGAUCGGACUUGUCUCCUGCCCAAUCUGCAUCUGAAAAAGCUGAAAUAUUAUUGACAUCAUUUCUGGUAUAAGUCAGUUUAAGAUCCUUGGUGCCUUUUAAGUAUUUGAGCACUCUCUUUGCUGCUCUCCACAGUUCUUCAGUGUGUUUAUCCAAGUAUCUACUGAGAUAACUUGUGGCAUAGAUUAUAUCGGGCCGUGUCAUCAUUGACAGGUAAGUAAGUCCUCCAAUUAAUUCUCUAUAAGGUACUGUAUUAAUAAUCUUGUUUUCUGUUUCAGGUUGGAAGUUACUUGUCAUUGGUGUAGAAACUGCAUUACAAUCAGCCAUAUGAAAAUUUUGUAACAAUUUGUCAAUAAACUUUUCUUGUGAUAAUGUUAA